rnacentral:misc_RNA from 1 species
GAUGAAGAACGUAGCGAAAUGCGAUAAGUAGUGUGAAUUGCAGAAUUCAGUGAAUCAUCGAAUCUUUGAACGCACAUUGCGCCCUUUGGUAUUCCAAAGGGCAUGCCUGUUCGAGCGUCAUUUGUACCCUCAAGCUUUGCUUGGUGUUGGGCGUCUUGUCUCUAGCUUUGCUGGAGACUCGCCUUAAAGUAAUUGGCAGCCGGCCUACUGGUUUCGGAGCGCAGCACAAGUCGCACUCCCUAUCAGCAAAGGUCUAGCAUCCAUUAAGCCUUUUUUUUCAACUUUUGACCUCGGAUCAGGUAGGGAUACCCGCUGAACUUAAGCAUAUCAAUAAGCGGAGGA